rnacentral:pre_miRNA from 1 species
GGUUUGUGGGUGGAGCUCCUUGAAGUCCAAAAGAGGUUCUUUCUGGGAAAAUCGAGCUGCUAAUCCAUGGAUCCCUCAACCCUAUCCAUAUCUAUAAUCCGUAUUGGAUGGGUUUGUGGGUUGCAUGUGUCAGGAGCCUGCAUUUCGCAAGUUAAAUCCUUCUUUGGAUUGAAGGGAGCUCUACACUUAUCCCUA